rnacentral:rRNA from 1 species
UGAGUAACGCGUAUCCAACUUCCCUAUAGUAGAGGAUAGCCCGGCGAAAGUCGGAUUAAUACUCUAUGUUUUCCGUUGCAGACAUCUAAGAUGGAACAAAGGCUUGCCGCUAUAGGGAUGGGGAUGCGUCUGAUUAGGUAGUCGGCGGGGUAACGGCCCACCGAGCCAUCGAUCAGUAGGGUUCUGAGAGGAAGGUCCCCCACAUUGGAACUGAGACACGGUCCAAACUCCUAACGGGAGGCAGCAGUGAGGAAUAUUGGUCAAUGGGCGAGAGCCUGAACCAGCCAAGUAGCCGUGCAGGACGACGGCCCUAUGGGUUGUAAACUGCUUUUAUGCGGGGAUAAAGUUCACUACGUGUAGUGUUUUGUAGGUACCGCAUGAAUAAGGACCGGCUAAUUCCGUGCCAGCCGCCGC